rnacentral:rRNA from 1 species
CAGUAGCAUAUACUAACAUUGUUGCAGUCGAAAGGCUCGUAGUCAAAUUUGUUACCCGCAUGCCUUGUAACGUACUUUGUACAGAUCAGAGGCAUGUUGGUAUUCUUCCUCGUAUUUACUGCUGCCCUUGAUUGGGUCGGUGGUACGUGCAGGGACACUUACUGUGAAAAAAUUAAGAUGUUCAAAGGGAGCUAUUGUUCAUAUGUUUCAGCAUGGAAUAAAAAGAUAUGACUUUUCCGUUGGUUGUGGAAAAAGUAAUGAUUAAUGGGAGUAGUUGGGGGUGUUAGUAUUUAGGGGUCAGCGGUGAAAUGCAAAAACCCUCUAAAGACUAUCUAGUGCGAAGGCAUUCACCAAAGAUAUUUNCUUUGA